GAUGGAUAGGGGUUCUGAGAGGAAGGUCCCCCACAUUGGUACUGAGACACGGACCAAACUCCUACGGGAGGCAGCAGUGAGGAAUAUUGGUCAAUGGCCGAGAGGCUGAACCAGCCAAGUCGCGUGAAGGAAGAAGGAUCUAUGGUUUGUAAACUUCUUUUAUACGGGAAUAAAGUGAGUCACGUGUGGCUUUUUGUAUGUACCGUAUGAAUAAGCAUCGGCUAACUCCGUGCCAGCAGCCGCGGUAAUACGGAGGAUGCGAGCGUUAUCCGGAUUUAUUGGGUUUAAAGGGUGCGUAGGUGGUCUUUUAAGUCAGCGGUGAAAGUUUGUGGCUCAACCAUAAAAUUGCCAUUGAAACUGGGAGACUUGAGUAUGUUUGAGGUAGGCGGAAUGCGUGGUGUAGCGGUGAAAUGCAUAGAUAUCACGCAGAACUCCGAUUGCGAAGGCAGCUUGCCAAGCCAUAACUGACACUGAAGCACGAAAGCGUGGGUAUCAAACAGG
rnacentral:rRNA from 1 species